rnacentral:rRNA from 1 species
AUUGAACGCUGGCGGCAUGCCUUACACAUGCAAGUCGAACGGUAACAGGUCUUCGGAUGCUGACGAGUGGCGAACGGGUGAGUAAUACAUCGGAACGUGCCCGAGAGUGGGGGAUAACGAGGCGAAAGCUUUGCUAAUACCGCAUACGAUCUCAGGAUGAAAGCAGGGGACCGCAAGGCCUUGCGCUCACGGAGCGGCCGAUGGCAGAUUAGGUAGUUGGUGGGAUAAAAGCUUACCAAGCCGACGAUCUGUAGCUGGUCUGAGAGGACGACCAGCCACACUGGGACUGAGACACGGCCCAGACUCCUACGGGAGGCAGCAGUGGGGAAUUUUGGACAAUGGGCGCAAGCCUAAUCCAGCCAUGCCGCGUGCAGGAUGAAGGCCUUCGGGUUGUAAACUGCUUUUGUACGGAACGAAAAGACUCCUUCUAAUAAAGGGGGUCCAUGACGGUACCGUAAGAAUAAGCACCGGCUAACUACGUGCCAGCCGCCGCAGUAAAAC